AGACGCACACUGGCAGGAACAACCGGAGGGACUUCCCUGACCGACCCCGCGUUUGCUCAGCUUUGAAUUCCCGCUCUGUAGAUCUGUCGCAAUUUAACCAGAAGUCACCCUGAAGACGGUAUCAGAAUCUCGGGAACUGGAGUUACAGAUGUUUAUAAGCCACCAUGUGAGUGCUGGGAAUGAAACCUCUGAUAAUCCAGAAACCUAUCCAGUUCUAUACAUCCAGAGCUGGGUUCAUCUCCUUCCCUGCCUGCGUGGUAUCUGACUCUGUAUCGGGGAGGUUUCACAUUCCCCCAACCCAGAUAUUAGCCACCCCCACACGGACUGCCAGGUCUUCUCUGUCAGAAACCACACUUACUAUCACUGUGUUGGUUCAGAUCCUAGCUC
ensembl:processed_transcript A930005H10Rik RIKEN cDNA A930005H10 gene